CCUACGGGAGGCAGCAGUGAGGAAUAUUGGUCAAUGGGCUUACGCCUGAACCAGCCAAGUCGCGUGAGGGAAGACUGCCCUAUGGGUUGUAAACCUCUUUUGUCAGGGAGCAACGCCGGCUACGUGUAGCCGGACUGAGAGUACCUGAAGAAAAAGCAUCGGCUAACUCCGUGCCAGCAGCCGCGGUAAUACGGAGGAUGCGAGCGUUAUCCGGAUUUAUUGGGUUUAAAGGGUGCGUAGGCGGAAUGCCACGUCAGCGGUAAAAUCGCGGGGCUCAACCUCGCUCCGCCGUUGAAACUGGCGUUCGUGAGUGGGCGAGAAGUAUGGGGAAUGGGGGGGGUGGGGGUGAAAUGCAUAGUUAACA
rnacentral:rRNA from 1 species